rnacentral:rRNA from 1 species
GAUGAACGCUGGCGGCGUGCCUAAUACAUGCAAGUCGAGCGAACAGAUGAGGAGCUUGCUCCUCUGACGUUAGCGGCGGACGGGUGAGUAACACGUGGAUAACCUACCUAUAAGACUGGGAUAACUUCGGGAAACCGGAGCUAAUACCGGAUAAUAUUUUGAACCGCAUGGUUCAAUAGUGAAAGACGGUUUUGCUGUCACUUAUAGAUGGAUCCGCGCCGCAUUAGCUAGUUGGUAAGGUAACGGCUUACCAAGGCAACGAUGCGUAGCCGACCUGAGAGGGUGAUCGGCCACACUGGAACUGAGACACGGUCCAGACUCCUACGGGAGGCAACAGUAGGGAAUCUUCCGCAAUGGGCGAAAGCCUGACGGAGCAACGCCGCGUGAGUGAUGAAGGUCUUCGGAUCGUAAAACUCUGUUAUUAGGGAAGAACAAAUGUGUAAGUAACUAUGCACGUCUUGACGGUACCUAAUCAGAAAGCCACGGCUAACUACGUG